UACGUAGGGUGCGAGCGUUAAUCGGAAUUACUGGGCGUAAAGCGUGCGCAGGCGGUUUUGUAAGCCAGAUGUGAAAGCCCCGGGCUUAACCUGGGAAUGGCAUUUGGGACUGCAAGGCUGGAGUGUGGCAGAGGAGACUGGAAUUCCGUGGUGUAGCAGUGAAAUGCGUAGAUAUCAGGAGGAAUACCGAUGGCGAAGGCAGGUCUCUGGGCUGACACUGACGCUCAUGCACGAAAGGCGUGGGGAGCAAACAGG
rnacentral:rRNA from 1 species